UGUGUUUUGGGGCUCUGAUCGCCCUGUGCAUCGUCACCUGCUGCGCGUACAAGAUUUGUGGCCCCGCUGAAGAAGAGGACUUUAGGAGCUACAGACCAGCCUUCAGACAGCCUCGAAUUCCACCGGAACUAUAUAGGGAAAUCUACACACUACCUGGCGCAGGGCAAGAGAAACCCCUGAUGGACAGUGGGGACGCACCUCCAGGAUCGAUGACGCCACAUUUAGGAGGUGGCGUCGUCGACGAUCCUUCUGGACUGCUGAACGGCAGAGGUAGGACCGCUGGAGGCCGUCUGGUGGGGGGCACAGGACGUGCUGGCGUGGCCCCCAGACUGGCUCAGCACCUUCACAACAGCUCUCUGGAUCUCACGUGUCCACCAGGUGGUGUACCGUCUGAUAGAGCUCUGUCUGAGCCUCGUCAGAACCCCGUCUAGCACGCGCAGCCCCGCCCCCCGAACACAACACCUCCUCUACUACACUCAGCAUCUGCUCCUUCCAUCGCAUUGCCCUCAUCACUGCCGCCCAUCCAAGAAGACAGUCCUAGACUACACGAAAUUGAACAGCUAAAUGCCCGCCAUCCAAUUAGUACUAUCGUGGCUCAAAGAGGUGGUCAUCCUUCGUCAGCCACUAUUAGUUUUUCAAAUAGCACUCCUGAAUAUCUGCAUCAUCUAACACGAUCACCUUCAUCGCCUAGAAUAUUUACUUUCAAUACCAGUUCUAUCUUAGACAUCACUUCAUCCAAUGUUUGCACGACGACCAUGAACACGAUCGCAGUAAUGCCACCGCAUUUAGUGACCACACCGCAGGUUUCAGCGACUCUUUCGACAGGGUCGCAUUCUUUAUAUUCCCCCAUGACGGUGCCAUCAGUUUCGCAAAUGACGCUUACGCAGCGAUCAUUGACGCCAGACAAAAGAGGUAAAACUACCAACACUCCUCCGCCUGCUCCUUGUCUUUUACCUCACUUGCUACUCAAGCAUUGCCUCGCUGAUUCAAGUUUCAAGUUUCUGAGAUCUAGAUCCUUAUUUAGGCCGCUUCCAACUCCUACGCCUCCUCCGCCACCUCCACCAAGGCUUCCUCCCCCACCUCCUCCCACUCCCCAGCCCCCGUCACCUCCGCCCUCUGUACCUCCGACGUUUCCACAUGGGUUGAAAUUGGGAGGACCCACCUCCCAACCGGCCGGGUUCCCUCAACCUUCGACUUCAGCAAGGUUACUUUCCCCACCUCUUACACAACGUGUUCCAGUUCCAAUAUCAACACCGCCUACAAGUCAUGUUUUGAUACAACAAAGCGCUGGUCACAGUGUCCAAUACGUGCAUUCAAGUUCUUUCUCCUCGCCUCCAACGUCAUCAGCUCGAAAAGUUUCCCUCGUCCCAGGUAACAUGAUGCCUCAGUCCGGCCCCGCGUCCACAGCGGCGAGGUCUCAAGGAGAACCACAGGUAAUCUUCACAGCCGCUCCUUUGGUGUCAUCACCUCCGUCUCUUGCAACUUCAGCACCUGUUGUCGAGCCCGUGCCUUUCCCGCGUCUUGCUCUUCGCCCAAUAAAGUUAACUCCACCAGAUACUCCUAGUCCCCCUCCUCCACCUCCUCCUCCUCCACCUCCACCACCUCCUUCGUCAUCUUCUUCUAUGAAAAUAAUGCCAAAUAAUGCUCCUCAUCAUCACUAUCAUCUACAUCAUCAUCAUCACCACCAUCACUAUCACCUGCACCACUAUAGCUCUCAACCCUCCUUAACUGAACCAUCGACCACGAGCUCUGCUUCUGCCCUAGCCCUCGUGCCCCCAUCUACAUCCGCCAUGACCAGCACCGCGAAGAUGCCUCCUGUAAUCCACAGAAAUGUCUUAUUGUGCACGACCAUCUCGCCUGAGCAUCACUACAACACUCUAACUACAAGUACAGCCAAGGACCACGAUGAUGUAAGUACUACGGGUCAACAGUUUGUCACUCCUCACCCUGGAGGCAUGGAACAUCGGCCUUCAGAAGGAUUCCUGGGAGCGAUGACGAGUCAAACUCUCCAGCCUGAGCAACGAACAAUUCCCAUUUUCAAUCGAUCACAAUUGUUAAAACUGAACGAACAGCAGCAAAGACAUCAAGGACAAGAGCAGAUCCAUCUGCAACAAAUGCGUAUCAUGCAUGAGCAGGAGCGCGAAGAACAGAAUCAACGGCAGAUUCUACUUCAACGUCAAAAGCACAAAGAAGAGCUUCAACGGAGAUUUCAGCAGCAACAACAGUACAUGCAUCAGCAACAACAUCAACAACAACCGCAACAUUCUCAGCAACUGCAACAAGAUCAACAACAUCACCUAGACGAUGGCUUCGAGGAGCAGCAUUCACUUGAAGCUUCGGCGAUAGUAAGGCCCAAAGAUAGAACUCACAGUGACGAUAAUCCACCAAGCCUCAUGGCUUGGGCUCGUCCUUCACAACACUUACCGUUAGACUCACCAGAAGCUCAACCAUCAGCUAGUUACUCCUCUAAUUUGUUUAGACCUACCUCGCCUGACGUCGAAAUUCGGUCUCCAGGAAGACGGUUUCCGCCAUCCGAGAGUCAGGAUGAAGACUUCGAGAGCGAGCUACACCAACAGCAUCUGUUGAACCAGCACCAGCAGCAGAAGCUUCAACUGCAGGAGCUAAGACUUCAACAACAACACAAAGAGUGGCUACAAAGAAGACAAGGACAACCUCAACAAAAUCUACAAGCCUCCUCAUACUACAACAUUUUGGAAUACCAAAACGAACAAAGGAUGAGGUCCCAAUUUUCUCAAAAUACCCUUUGAGCUUGCAGAGAAGUUGUACGUCAAGGAGCAAUGCAUGUUAUACUCACACUCACCACAUCUGGUAAUAUCAGUCUAGGUAUUGUUGUUAUAUUGUUGUAGUUGUUGAACAUUGUUGUUAAUAUAUUGUUGUUUACUGAAUAUAGAGAUAUUUUCGCUCUCAUCAUUCGGGCGCGUGACUCCAGUUUGCAAAUGAAAAAAUGACAAAUUAUCUUGUGGUUUUAAAAGAGCUUCGAAAAAUCAGAAGUGACUUCAAGGCUCUCGCCUGUGAAUUGACUCAUCUGCCAGUGAGUCUGUAAAUUGACAUCUUUUUCGAAGAAAAAACAGCACUGCCAUUUAGAAAGGACGAGGAGUCACAAGACAACGAGAAGAAAACAACAGUGAGCGUCGGAAGAUUGAGAAGACACUCGCCGUAGGAGCCUCCCAGACGACACCCUCAAGGAGGCUCCAGG
rnacentral:misc_RNA from 1 species